rnacentral:lncRNA from 1 species
UGCAUCUAUGUUCAUUAAAGAUAUUGGUCUGAAGUUUUCUUUCUUUGAUAUGUCUUUGCCUGGUUUGGGGAUCAGGGUGAUAUUGGUCUCAUAGAAUGAAUUUGGAAGUGCUGUCUCUUUUUCUAUUUCCUGAAAAAAAAUUGAAGAGUAUUGGUAUUAGUUUUUCUUUAAAAGUCUUGUAGAACUCGGCUGUAUAUCCAUCCUAUCCUGAGCUUUUCUUGGUUUUCUGAUGGCAUCUUCUAUUUCCUCACUUGAUAUUGGUCUGUUUAAACUGUGUAUAUCUUCCUGACUUAAUCUGGGCAAAUAGUAUGACUUAGGAAAUUUGUUGAUGCCUUCAAUGUCUUGUAUUUUAUUGGAGUAUAAGUUUUCAAAAUAAUUUUUAAUUAUCCUUUUCAUUUCUGUAUUGUCUGUUGUGAUAUUACCAUUUUCAUCAUGUAUGCUGGUAAUUUGAGUUCUCUCUCUCCUUCUCUUUGUUAGUGUAGCUAAGGGUGUGUCAAUUUUAUGUAUUUUUGCAAAGAACCAAUUUUAUGUUUUGUCAAUUUUUCCAAUUGUUUCUUUUGCUUUGAUUUCAUUGAUUUCAACUCUAAUUUUAAUUAUUUCUUGCCUUCUACUGCUUUUGCUGCUGAUUUGUUCUUCUUUUUCUAGGGCUUUUGAGAUGUCGUGUGAGGUCAUUUAUUUGUUGACUUUUUUUUUCUUUUAAGGAAUGAACUCCAUAUAAUGAAUUUUCCUCUUAGUACUGCUUUCAUAGUGUCCCAUAGAUUUUAAAAUUUAUAUCUAUUUUCUCAUUUACCACUAAGUAUUUUUUAAUCUUCUUCUUGAUGUCUUCUGCAACCCAUUGUUCAUUCAGUAGCAUAGUGUUUAGUCUCCAGAUGAUGGAGAAAUUUUUAUUUUUUUAUUUUGUUGAUUUCCAAUUUCAUUUCAUUAUGAUCAGAUAAAAUACAAGGUAGUAUCUCUACUUUUUUGUAUUUGCUAAGAGUUGCUUUGUGGCAUAGUAUAUGGUCGAUUUUAGAGAAGGACACAUGUGCUGUUGAGAAGAAAGUAUAUCCG